CAGCAACAGAAGAAGAAGAAAGAGAAAAAGGUGUAUGAUUUACCUGGCCAGAAACGAGAUCCACCGGAGGAGAAAGAUCCUCUCAGGAUUUUAUAUGAGAGUUUAUAUGAGCAAGUUCCCACAAGCGAAAUGUCACAAGUCUGGUGAGUUUUUCUUUCCUGACCAAGAUUUGUUAAGGGUGGGAGACACAUUACUGUGUAUAUGCAACUUUGAGACACUACUGAUAGUGUAGUUUUGCCUUUAAGCAACUUUGAGACCCUUGCCAACCAACUGGAGCCAUGAAUAGUACAAGGUAACUAUUUCUUCCCUCUGUUUCUCUGUUCUUAUGAUAAGGGCCAUUAUUUUAGUUCCAUGUCUGUGAAUCUGUUCCUGUGUUGCAGAUGUGAAAAUGGAAGUUUGAAUAUUGACUUAUUAAAUUGAUAAUGCGGGUUGUGACAUUUAGAUAUUGAGUCUGAGAUAUGGUUUUUCCAGCAAAAUAAAACUGAUUCAUAAUUGAUUCUGCCUGUUGACCUUGGACCUGCUUCAUUGGAUUACAUAUGUUUCUCUCUUACAAAUUGCAAGAUUUUUGACAUAUCGUAUUUGCAAAUUUUUACUCCUCAAUAACUGGACUACCUGCUUUGUGGUCGUAGGGGAGAUGUGGAAGGCUGAUACACUAGUUGACCAUAUAAAGUUUGACCACGGAUACACUGCCAAGAGCCCUGCCAUAGUCAAUGUAUAAUUUCUUUCUUGUGUUAGAAAGAAUGUGAUUGGAAAAUUAAGCUUUCGUCAACUGCAGCCAAUGCUUCAUCUAAUGGGAAUGGGCCUUCGGAAUCAGCAGGUAAUGACUUGCCAAGUGUGAUGACAUGUGCUAAUUACCUGAAGCUUCCUCCUUAUUCUACCAAGGAAAUUAUGUCCAACAAGCUACUCUAUGCAAUCAAUGAGGGGCAGGGAUCCUUUGAUUUAUCAUGAGUCUCAGGAACUAACCAAGCUGUCCCUGAAUGUUAAUAUGAUGAAUCAGGACUUUUGAGGAUGAAUUAAUUUUUGGUUGCAUGUACUUCCCCUCUUCUCAUCUCCAAUAAUGGCAGCUGAAUUGGAUUGGCAGAUUUUCAGGGUGUAAAGGGAUUCGCGGGGUUCAUUUUAGCUAUUAGUGUAUGUUGUAUUUUUCAACUAAUAAAUUUUUUUUUUUUUUGACAAAUGUGAUGAAAGUUCAUGUAUGUUGGAU